AGAAUGAACGUUGGCGGCGUGGAUUAGGCAUGCAAGUCGGACGGGCCGCAAGGCCAGUGGCGUAAGGGUGAGUAAGGCGACGGCAAUCAUCCCCACGGUUGGGUAUAGCCGCGAGAAAUCGCGGGUAAUCCCCAGCGACGCACGGCGUCGGCAUCGACGCCCUGCCAAAGGCUCGCCGCCGUGGGACGAGCCGUCGUGGUAUUAGGUCGUUGGCGGGGUAACGGCCCACCAAGCCUGCGAUGCCUACCGGGCGUGCGAGCGUGGCCCGGCACACUGGGACUGAGACACUGCCCAGACUCCUACGGGAGGCUGCAGUCGAGAAUCUUCGGCAAUGGGCGCAAGCCUGACCGAGCGACGCCGCGUGGAGGACGAAGGCCUUCGGUGUAAACUCCUGUCGAGGGGAAGGAGGGCCGCGAACGGCCCUUGACCGCUCCCGUGGAGGAAGCGACGGCUAAGUCGUGCCAGCAGCCG
rnacentral:rRNA from 1 species